rnacentral:rRNA from 1 species
AUUGAACGCUGGCGGCAUGCCUUACACAUGCAAGUCGAACGGUAACAGGUCUUCGGAUGCUGACGAGUGGCGAACGGGUGAGUAAUACAUCGGAACGUGCCCGAUCGUGGGGGAUAACGAAGCGAAAGCUUUGCUAAUACCGCAUAAGAUCUACGGAUGAAAGCAGGGGACCGCAAGGCCUUGCGCGAACGGAGCGGCCGAUGGCAGAUUAGGUAGUUGGUGGGAUAAAAGCUUACCAAGCCGACGAUCUGUAGCUGGUCUGAGAGGACGACCAGCCACACUGGGACUGAGACACGGCCCAGACUCCUACGGGAGGCAUCAGUGGGGAAUUUUGGACAAUGGGCGAAAGCCUGAUCCAGCCAUGCCGCGUGCAGGAUGAAGGCCUUCGGGUUGUAAACUGCUUUUGUACGGAACGAAAAGACUCUUUCUAAUAAAGAGGGUCCAUGACGGUACCGUAAGAAUAAGCACCGGCUAACUACGUGCCAGCAGCCGCCGCAGUAA